CCUACGGGCGGCAGCAGUGAGGAAUAUUGGUCAAUGGGCGGAAGCCUGAACCAGCCAAGUCGCGUGAGGGAAUAAGGCCCUACGGGUCGUAAACCUCUUUUGCCGGGGAGCAAGGGCGGGGACGUGUCCCGGCCCGGAGAGUACCCGGAGAAAAAGCAUCGGCUAACUCCGUGCCAGCAGCCGCGGUAAUACGGGGGAUGCGAGCGUUAUCCGGAUUUAUUGGGUUUAAAGGGUGCGUAGGCGGAUCGUUAAGUCAGUGGUCAAAUUGAGGGGCUCAACCCCUUCCCGCCAUUGAAACUGGCGCUCUUGAGUGGAAGAGAAGUAUGCGGAAUGCGUGGUGUAGCGGUGAAAUGUAUAGAUAUCACGAAGAACUCCGAUUGCGAAGGCAGCUUACCGGCUCCAUACUGACGCUGAGGCACGAAAGCGUGGGGAUCGAACAGGAUUAGAUACCCGAGUAGUC
rnacentral:rRNA from 1 species